CUUCCUCUUCUUUUCUUCUUCCUUUUUACAACCCCAAAAUCUUUGUGGGUUUUGAUUUCCAAUUUCAGCUCACAAAAUCAAUGUUACAAUUCGAUUUUCAUUUUCGAAUAAAUUCUUACACGGUUUUAUGAUUUCAAUCUCUUCUAAUUUUGGUUCUGAUUCUGUGAAAAAUUGUUGAAUCCAAUGGUUUUCUUGCUGAAUCCUAUUGUACAAGUUGCUAAUCGUUCAUGACAAUGGUGUUUUGUGGUAGAGAGGGUUUUCUGUUUCUAGAAGCUUCUAUCAGAGUUUUUGUUGACAAUGUUGAAAUUAGAAAGGGGAUCAUAGUGGGGUUAAUGAAGGGAGGUAGGGUCUUGCUUGCUUGGCCAUCCAACAGAGUCUCAGCCUCAUUAACACAUGGAGGUUAAGACUGAACAAUGGCAGGAUUCGGUGGUUACGGAGGUGGUGACGGUGCCGGAAGUGGAACGAAGGUUUUAAAUGGUGGCUUUGACAAGCGUCGGUGGUGGAGUGGUGUGAUUCGCCGUAAAUUCGAACGGUUGUAUGAAGAUCAUGGUGUGAUUAAACAAGAACUCAUCAACUGUUGAUGACUCAUUUCUAUUUGUGCAAUUAUUAUAAAUAGGAUACUGCAUCUUUUGGGGGAUUAGAGGAGGGGUCACCGUGGUGCACAUCGGUCAUGACAGGAACCUUCGACAUUGAUUAUGAAUGGUAGUGCCUUCCUCUUAUUUGGAGUUAUCUUUUUGACUGGUUGGGUAAGUAUUAAUUUUCUUGUUUCUUUCUGACUGUAUUGAUACAUUGAGUUGGAUUUAGACAGGAUGAUUGACAAUGGUUGUUUAUGAUUCUUAGUAUCAUGUAUUUUUUUGAUGAAUGAUCAAAGUCUCAAGCAAUAAUGCGGUGAAAAACCAUGUUAACUGAAGAAGCUUGGUUCUGGAGCUUCUAUAGAUCGCGAGGAAACCAUCCACAAACACAUGUUUGGUGACGGAAAUACGCUACCAAACAGGGUUCAUUUGAAGUUGUCUACAAUAGAAGAAGUGAUGCAUUUGCUGCUCUUAAACGAUAUAACAAUGUGCUUUUGGAUGGAAAGCCCAUGAAGAUUGAGAUUGUUGGAACAAAUUCAGAAUUGUCUGUAACUGCACGGGUGAAUGUCUCUGCAAUGAAUAGGCAGAGGAAGAAGACUUUUGUAAUGACAAUUAAUUAGUUUGGUUAGCAUCAGUAUCUCUUAUAUGGUCUUUAAAUUGGGUUCUUAUGGUAAUGUGGUGGUGCUAUCAAGUUGUGUUGUCUUCAAGUCAUCCAAAGGUGUUGGUUGAGAUUUUGGUGAUAUAUCAAGUUAUUGCUUCUUAAAUGGAUCAUGAGGGUUUUAGAUGCAACAUCAUUCUAUAUUCCCUUUGUUUCAUGUUUCAAGCACAGGUACUGCUCUGCAUCUGUGUUGGGGGUAGCAGAGUUUGUGGUUACUAUUGGAUUGUGGGUAGCAGAGUUUGUCUACAAGGUUGGAUUGCUUGCAAUCUGUCCAAUUUUUUCAGCUUUGGUUCUGGUUAUGAAGACCGAAAAAUGUCGUGUUUUUUACUCUAUCUAUGUUGCUUAGUUUUCGGAUCUACUGCAGGAGGAUGUUCUUCAAAUUCAUUUUUGUUGUAUCUUCCUUUCUACUUAAUGUAUUUUUACAUUUGUGUUUAGAUUGGGGCUUUUGCUCUU